CAAUAGCGUAUAUUAAAGUUGUUGCAGUUAAAAAGCUCGUAGUUGGAUUUGUGGCUGUCACGGGCGGCCUAUCACUUAGUGUUAGUGCUUGCCUGUGUCGCCAUCCUUGGGUGGAGCCCGUGUGGCAUUAGGUUGUCGUGCGGGGGAUGCCCAUCGUUUACUGUGAGAAAAUUAGAGUGUUCAAAGCAGGCUUAUGCCGUUGAAUAUGUUAGCAUGGAAUAAUAAGAUAGGACCUCGGUACUAUUUUGUUGGUUUGCGCACCGAGGUAAUGAUUAAUAGGGACAGUUGGGGGUAUUCGUAUUUCAUUGUCAGAGGCGAAAUUCUUGGAUUUCUGAAAGACGAACUACUGCGAAAGCAUUUACCAAGGAUGUUUUCAUUAA
rnacentral:rRNA from 1 species